CUUCUGCGGAGCUGGGCCCUAGGCUGACCCUCGGGAAGCUGGGCGAGGUGAUAGUGGAGCUGCUGCCACAUGACCUGAGUCCAUGACUCAUUUUCCAUGGCCUCCAAGGGGAGAUAUUGGACACCUGGGAAAGCCUUCUGAAAUCCACACACACUUGAACAUCUCCCUGACCUGCUCAAGACUAUUCAGAUCUACAAAGUAAGUGCCAAACUCUAUGCUAUGGGCCCAACCACCCAGGCCAGGGCUGUUUCCAACCCAGGAGCCCUCAAG
rnacentral:lncRNA from 1 species